UCCUAAGAAAACAAUGUUGCUCAAUUCCAGUCUGAUCUGCUAUAAGUAGCACUGCUAUAAGAGUGCAGGGCUCACUGUGCUGUAUCUGCAACAACUGAAAACAUAAUGAAGUGCAUUUUGGCUUCUGUGAUUGCCCUUGGCAUUUUGUUGACAACAUGUAAUGCUGCCUGCUUCAAUCAGCCGCCUGAAAACCAGGAAGGUUGCCUUUAUAGUGGUGAGCUGCAUGAACUGGGGAGCACAUUUAGAACAAAAGAUUGUAUGGACUGUACCUGUUCCAUGGACGGCUCAAUGGGAUGUUGCCAAGUAUUCAAGUAGUUGAUAGAGUGUUUCCAGAUGAGCGAGGUAGUGAUCUGUGGACCAAACUUUUACAGAGGGAAGUGAAGUGGAUAUUUACAUUGGACAUGGCACCCCAGUGGAUUUUGAUAGGACAAAGUGUAAGGUUAUUUAUAAUAAGAAAACCUGCACUGUUCGUGUUGUGCAAAGGAAAGAUCCUUCAAAGGAAUGUGAGCGUUAUUCUAUGGUUGGGUAAAGUGGCCGUCUCCUUAGGCUACAGCCUUCAAGCUUACAACAUUUAUAUCCAUGUUGUUUUUUGUAUACAAAGUAAAACAGUGUGUAUUGCAUGAAUAAAGUAUAUAUAAAUAAAUGAGAAAAUAAAGUCAGUAUAACAGCAAA